rnacentral:rRNA from 1 species
GAUGAACGCUGGCGGCGUGCUUAACACAUGCAAGUCGAACGGAAAGGCUCCUGCUUGCAGGGGUACUCGAGUGGCGAACGGGUGAGUAACACGUGGGGGAUAUGCCCUGCACUUCGGGAUAAGCCUGGGAAACUGGGUCUAAUACCGGAUAGGACGAUGGUUUGGAUGCCAUUGUGGAAAGUUUUUCGGUGUGGGAUGAGCUCGCGGCCUAUCAGCUUGUUGGUGGGGUAAUGGCCUACCAAGGCGUCGACGGGUAGCCGGCCUGAGAGGGUGUACGGCCACAAUGGGACUGAGGUACGGCCCAGACUCCUACGGGAGGCAGCAGUGGGGAAUAUUGCACAAUGGGCGCAAGCCUGAUGCAGCGACGCCGCGUGGGGGAUGACGGCCUUCGGGUUGUAAACUCCUUUCGCUAUGGACGAAGCGCAAGUGACGGUACCUGGAGAAGAAGCACCGGCUAACUACGUG